GUGGCAGUAGCUUAAGAGGCAAAGCGACAGAUUCGUAAUCUGUAGUAGGAGAGUUCAAGUCUCCCCUGCCACC
rnacentral:tRNA from 1 species